GCCACUACCUAAAAUUUUGGGUAAUUUGACAUGCAAGUACAAGCAUUUUCUAACAUGCAUUAAUAGAUCCUUAGAGAUUAACCUAUCACAUUUCAAAAGUGUCACACAUAAGUCCUAUUAACUAAAUUCACAUGCAAUCGACUAAAUCGAAGCUUAAAACUUUCACACAUUCAUAUUCACAUAUUUUAGACAAUAAAUAUUAUAUUCAAAUACUUCGGUGACUCAGUUUAGCGGUC
rnacentral:lncRNA from 1 species